rnacentral:sRNA from 1 species
GUGUUUUUCAUAGUAUUAGAUAUAAGAUUAAUUAAAGGAGACGUACCCGCUUGUGAUAAGUAAGUACAUCAAAGAACAGAAGCGUCUGUUUUGAUUGAUAAAUGUGUAAGAAGCAUCGGUUUACCCCAAGCCGGUGCUUUUUUUAU